CUGAAUUAUAUGUCCCAACCUCUUCUUUGACCCCAUUCAUGACAGAAGUUGUGUGUGUAUUGAAACGUUGUUGUCCUUGGUACAAUCCUGUUUGUCAUCAUUUAUGAAAGAUAACAUCUCAGGCAUCAAGUACUAUUGACCAGAGAGAGCCUUUGAUAUGUUGAGGACCAUCGCUGGAAUGUUGGGUUGGGCUGUAAUAUCCAUC